UAUAAACAGAACCAAAGACAAAAACCACAUGAUUAUCUCAAUAGAUGCAGAAAAACCCUUCGACAAAAUUCAACAGCCCUUCAUGCUAAAACCUCUCAAUAAAUUAGGUAUUGAUGGAACGUAUCUCAAAAUAAUAAGACCUAUUUAUGACAAACCUACAGCCAUAUCAUACUGAAUGGGCAAAAACUGGAAGCAUUCCCUUUGAAAACUGGCACAAGACAGGGAUGCCCUCUCUAAAUUUAACUUUUUCCCCCCCACAAUAUGACUUGCAUUUACAUAGGGUUUUAUACCCUUUCUUUAGUUGUUUUUUCAUCCCUAAUACAUAGAAUGCAACUUUUCCACUUG
rnacentral:lncRNA from 1 species